CCUGAGCAAAGGUAACAUGUGAGCAGCGUUAUUAUGGAACCACGCAACUUCUAGGCCAGUCCCGCCGUUCAAUAGCAUUCACACACUACUAUUGGCCAGGCGUCCAUGCUUAGGCAAGGUAACAAUCCCAAUUUGUUCAGGUCCAAUCCCCUGACCAGUCGGCCAUCCUAACCUUAACCACUCGAGGUCAAUGCCUAACCCCAACUAAUCGAGCUGCUUCGUAGGGCGGGACUU